rnacentral:rRNA from 1 species
CACGUAGGGCGCAAGCGUUGUCCGGAAUUAUUGGGCGUAAAGAGCUCGUACGCGGUCUGUUGCGUCCGCUGUGAAAACUCGGGGCUUAACCCCGAGCCUGCAGUGGAUACGGGCAGACUAGAGGUAGGUAGGGGAGAAUGGAAUUCCCGGUGUAGCGGUGAAAUGCGCAGAUAUCGGGAGGAACACCGGUGGCGAAGGCGGUUCUCUGGGCCUGUACUGACGCUGAGGAGCGAAAGCGUGGGGAGCGAACAGG